rnacentral:misc_RNA from 1 species
GAUGAAGAACGUAGCGAAAUGCGAUACGUAAUGUGAAUUGCAGAAUUCAGUGAAUCAUCGAGUCUUUGAACGCACAUUGCGCCCCUUGGUAUUCCGAGGGGCAUGCCUGUUCGAGCGUCAUUAUAACCCCUCAAGCUCAGCUUGGUGUUGGGGCCUGCCGCACGGGCAGCCCUUAAAAUCAGUGGCGGUGCCAUCUGGCUCUAAGCGUAGUAAUUCUUCUCGCUAUAGAGUCCCGGUGGAUGCUUGCCAUUAACCCCCAAUUUUCUAUGGUUGACCUCGGAUCAGGUAGGGAUACCCGCUGAACUUAAGCAUAUCAAUAAGCGGAGGA